CCUACGGGUGGCAGCAGUGAGGAAUAUUGGUCAAUGGGCGAGAGCCUGAACCAGCCAAGUCGCGUGAGGGAGUACUGCCCUAUGGGUUGUAAACCUCUUUUGUCGGGGAGCAAAAGCCGGACGUGUCCGGCUGUGAGAGUACCCGAAGAAAAAGCAUCGGCUAACUCCGUGCCAGCAGCCGCGGUAAUACGGAGGAUGCGAGCGUUAUCCGGAUUUAUUGGGUGUAAAGGGCGUGCAGCCGGAGAGACAAGUCAGAUGUGAAAUCCACGGGCUCAACCCGUGAACUGCAUUUGAAACUGUUUCCAUUGAGUGUCGGAGAGGUAAUCGGAAUUCCUUGUGUAGCGGUGAAAUGCGUAGAUAUAAGGAAGAACACCAGUGGCGAAGGCGGAUUACUGGACGAUAACUGACGUUGAGGCUCGAAAGCGUGGGGAGCAAACAGGAUUAGAUACCCUUGUAGUC
rnacentral:rRNA from 1 species